rnacentral:rRNA from 1 species
UGGGGAAUAUUGCGCAAUGGGCGAAAGCCUGACGCAGCGACGCCGCGUGAGGGAUGAAGGUCUUCGGAUCGUAAACCUCUGUCAGCAGGGAAGAACGGUCACUGUGCUAAUCAGCAGUGAAUUGACGGUACCUGCAAAGGAAGCACCGGCUAACUCCGUGCCAGCAGCCGCGGUAAUACGGAGGGUGCGAGCGUUAAUCGGAAUUACUGGGCGUAAAGCGCUCGUAGGCGGUAUGUCAAGUCAAGGGUGAAAUCCCCGCGCUCAACGUGGGAACUGCCUUUGAAACUGGCAAACUGGAGUGUGUGAGAGGAUAGUGGAAUUCCAGGUGUAGGAGUGAAAUCCGUAGAUAUCUGGAGGAACAUCAGUGGCGAAGGCGACUAUCUGGCACAUAACUGUCGCUGAGGAGCGAAAGCGUGGGUAGCAAACAGG